GAGAAAAAGUUGAAGCGAGAGAGAUGAAGACGGAAGUUUGCUGAAUAAACUGCUGUUAGAAGGACUGGUGGUCGUGUCGUUCUUGCUGGUUGAGAGCGGACUCGACAAUUGGUGGCCAGUAUGGGGAACCAACUCCCCCACCAACGAGUUCAGAACUUUCAGCAGUCAGUGUUUGCAGCAGGGUAAGUUCACGAAAAGAGUCCAGAAUGGCUGUCCUCUAAGACACUCCACCCACCAGCUGACUUAGACAGAUGCAGACACCCACAGCCAAACAGUGGAUGGACCUUGGGAACUCUUAUGGAAGAAUAGGAGGAGCAAUUGGGGCCCCAAAGGGGAAAGGAACUCCACAGAAAGAUCAACAGAAUCAACUACCCUGGACCCUUGAUAUUCUUAGAGUCUGAACUACCAAAGAACAUACAUGGACUGGACCUAGGCCUCCCCACACAUAUGUAGCAGAAGUACAGCUUGGUCUUUAUGUGGAUCCCAAACUAUUGGAGUGGAGGCUAUCAAAACUGUUGUCUGUCUCUGGAAUAUGUUCUUCUAGCUGGGCUGCCUUGUCUGGACUCAGUGGGAGAGGAUGUGCCUAGCCUUAUAGACUUGAUGUGCCAGGGUGUGUGAUACCCAGGGGGACCUCCAUCCACUCAGAGGAGAAGGGGGAAGGGGUGAGGG
ensembl:lincRNA Gm43303 predicted gene 43303